rnacentral:rRNA from 1 species
GAUGAACGCUAGCGAUAGGCUUAACACAUGCAAGUCGAGGGGCAGCAUGGUCUUAGCUUGCUAAGACUGAUGGCGACCGGCGCACGGGUGCGUAACGCGUAUGCAACUUGCCUCACAGAGGGGGAUAACCCGUCGAAAGACGGACUAAUACCGCGUACACUCCAUCUUGGGCAUCCAAGGUAGAGGAAAUGAAAUUCGCUGUGAGAUAGGCAUGCGUCCCAUUAGCUAGUUGGUGAGGUAACGGCUCACCAAGGCGACGAUGGGUAGGGGAACUGAGAGGUUGAACCCCAACACUGGUACUGAGACACGGACCAGACUACUACGGGAGGCAGCAGUGAGGAAUAUUGGUCAAUGGGCGAGAGCCUGAACCAGCCAAGUCGCGUGAAGGAUGACUGUCUUAUGGAUUGUAAACUUCUUUUAUACGGGAAUAACAAGAGUCACGUGUGACUCCCUGCAUGUACCGUAUGAAUAAGCAUCGGCUAACUCCGUG